ensembl:snoRNA SNORA70 Small nucleolar RNA SNORA70
CUGCAGCUUAUUAAGCCGACCAGUUCUGCCCUCAGUGCGUUUCUGGUGUGCAAAGGCUGCAGACAGCGACUCUUUGGUUGUGUAUGAACUCAGCUGGGAGGUGCUGAGUGCUUUAAGGGACCACUGAGACAAAA